GGCCACAUUGAUUAUGUGAGACAAGAAAAGUUUCUCAAGCCUUUUCUUCAGCUUUCUGAUUGAAUUUUAACUUGAGGUUUCGAGAAGCCCCUGAAAGCCCAUCUAGCCUUGCAACAACCCAAUGCUUUGCAUUACAAAAUUGAUGCUUCUGAGUGGGGCUGAACUGAUCAGGAUAUUAGUAAUGGAUAUGGAGCCUUUCACUGCUGGCUUGGUAUUGGUCCAAAUGCAGCCUGGUAUUGCAGUGAUUAAAAUUGUUAUCUAAUGGCCUAUGAGAAAUUAGUUUGAUGGUCUCAUCCAGUUCUCAGUAGACAAAAGUUUAAAUCACACACACACACAUACACACACACACACACACACACACACGUACGUAUUGGACACACGGAUAAUUACAAGUGACAAUCUUCCUGUAGAACUCAGAGAGGUCAGAGACUGCACAGGCAAAAGGCACUGCCCAACCCCAGAAAAGCCUCCUGCCAAAUUUCAAGUCCUUGCUCCAAAGGAUGGGGAAGCUAGAGUUUCUCAGUGGAAUAAUUCCCGGAAAUUUAUUUUUAACAGGAGCAAAAUAUAUUUUCCCCUAAGCUCACUGUGAGCAAGGGCUAUGCCAUUUCAGCUGAAUCUGCCCAUAGGCCAUAGCAGAAAUCCAGCAGCAUAGACAAUCUAAGCCCAUACAAUUUUAAAGUUUGUCAAAGUUCUAAGCAACUGAAAAUAUGGGUCUUAUAAUGGGAAGUGUUGGGCAACCUUAAAGAUAGGAGCGGUUGUGCUCCCACAGCUAGGGUUGUCAGUAUCUUCUCAAUUUGUUUCCCGGACAGAACCCUCAAAUACCGGACUGCCUGAUUCAAAACCAGACACCUGGCAACCCUACCCACAGCUAAGUAGGGUCAAGACUAAUUAGUACUUGGAUGGCAAACAUCAAAGAAACAAACCAGGAAGCUCCAGGAAGUACCGCUGAUGGUUUAAGAACCUGCACUGUAUUCUGUUAGCACCGAAGCAAUGCUCUGGGGUAGUGUUAAAUCUCAGAGAAGACAAAACCUGAGCAUAACACUUAUCAUCAUCUGACAAUGUGGAAGAAAAAUUUCAAGAGCUUUACUUACUUCGGAUGUGUGAAUUCAUCAAUGAGGACAACCUUUUCUACCACGUCUCCUCCGAUGGUUCGGAC